rnacentral:rRNA from 1 species
UAUUAAAGAGUUUGAUCCUGGCUCAGGACUAACGCUGGCGGCGUGCCUAACACAUGCAAGUCGAACGGAGUAGGAAACUACUCAGUGGCGGACGGGUGAGU